CUUUAUAUAUAAGUUCCGCUUAUAUUCAAAAGCCAUUUGUAUUGUUUUCGUCUACUCCAAUCCUUUUUUCCUUCUUCUACGCAAUCUCUCGUUGUUGUAUCCUCAAGGCAAUAUGGGUCGUCUAAGGCCGACUAUUUACGUCGGAAAUCUUCCUGGUGAUAUUCGGGAGAGAGAAGUAGAAGAUUUGUUUUACAAGUAUGGGCCCAUUGUGGAAAUUGAUCUGAAAGUUCCUCCUAGACCACCUGGUUAUGCGUUUGUAGAGUUCGAAGAUCCUCGGGAUGCUGAUGACGCCAUCCGUGGGCGUGAUGGCUAUGAUUUUGAUGGGCAUCGCUUGCGAGUUGAACUUGCACGUGAUGGGCGAGGAUCAUCAUCAUAUGAUCGCUACAGUAGUUACAGUAGUGGGAGUCGUGGUGGACUUUCUAGGCGCUCUGACUAUCGCGUACUGGUCUCUGGACUACCAUCUUCUGCUUCAUGGCAAGACUUGAAGGAUCACAUGCGAAGAGCUGGAGAUGUCUGCUUCUCUCAAGUUUUCCGAGAUCGUGAUGGUAUGAGAGGGAUUGUGGACUAUACCAACUAUGAUGAUAUGAGAUAUGCGAUAAAGAAACUUGAUGACUCUCUGUUUCGCAAUCAAUUCUCUCGAGCAUAUAUCAGGGUGGACAAGUAUGAUAAGAGGCAUAGCUAUUCAAGGAGUCCAAGUCCAUAUCAUUCAAGAAGCAGAAGUUACUCAAGAAGCAGGAGUCCUCGACGAAGCUAUAGCAGCCAGAGCAGAAGUUUAUCUCCUAGGGGUAAAUACUAUCGUCGCUCUGUGUCUGUCUCACCCUCAGGGUCUUUUUCCCCUGCUCGCUCUCUUUCAAGAUCUGGCUUCCGCGGCGAUCUGGGGAUUGCUAUAUAGACAGGUGAUGGUUAAUGGUGCUCAAAUUCAGACAACUCGUUUGGUUGUGGCUAUAACCUGAUUUAGUGGAUGAGCACCUCCGGCAAACUCUGGAUGGUAAUUUCCAUUCUAAUAUGUUAUUAAGGUGGAUCUAACUCACAGCAAUAUAUCAACUUGUUUUGGGGCUAACCGUCUGAACAUGGGAAUGCAAUCCAAUAGACAAAUAAAAAUUGUUUUGCUUUAGCGCGUGGGACUAGAGCAGGCAUUUGUAUCGUUAUGGCUCUUAUAAAUUGGACAAGCAACCUCCAGGAAGAGUGUUGCAAAUGGUUUUUGUUUCAAUUUGACCCCGUUGGGUGAAUGGUGUUAGAGAUUGCGGCAGCUCUUGCUAAAUACUAUGAUUGUGGACAUGGAAGUAGCAUGGAUUCAUUUGGAAAGGUCAUUCUGGAACCUUUUGGCCACACAAUUCUAUGAUACUAACUAGAAUUGUUUCUGGGGUUUUUGCAGAUCUCUAUCAAGAUCCAGAUCUCCACUUUCACCACCGCCUCGUUGGAGGCACGCGAGGAGCCCGAGGAGGAGCAGGAGCAGGAGUCUAUCCUAUUCUCGCUCUUCGGGGAUGUCCAACUGAGACUUCUACAAGAAACAAGGAGAUAGUAGCCAAAAUAAAGUAUUAUGCAGACUUGCUGGAUGUUAAGGAACUGUAGUGUUUACUAUAUGAUGAUAUAAUUUCUUCAGUUGUAACAUUUAGAGGAGGAGCUUUGAAUUCUAGCUAGCUAGUUGUGUGUUUUAUAAACUUGUUCUAGGUUAAUCGCCAUGCAUGCCUUUUGAACUGCUAAGUGAAACUCGAGGAUGUAGAUCUGUUAUAUUUUUGUCUUGUGAUUCAGUUGUUGCUGCUACAA